rnacentral:rRNA from 1 species
AUGGAUGAAGACACUUGCUGCAGAGUUGCAGAUUUACUGCAAUGCCAAAUAUCCUCCUUCCCCUGCACAUACUUGGGCCUACCUCUCUCCACAAACAAGAUCACCCACGGCCUGCUCAUGCCUGUGAUCCACAGGGUUGACAAACGACUGUCUGGUUGGCUUGCCACCUUCCUCUCUUGGGGAGGGAGACUCACACUUAUUAAUUCCGUUUUAGCUGCUAUACCCAAUUACUACAUGGCAUGCUUCCUCUGGCCGAAACAAUCCUUGGAUAGAUUGGAGCAAAUUCUGAGGGGCUUCUUAUGGCAAGGUAAAAAUAAAGCAUCUGGUGGUCAGUGUCUUGUUGCCUGGGACUAUGUUACUUUGCCAAAGGCCAAUGGCGGCUUGGGGAUCAGAGACCUCAGGGCUCAUAACUUUGCCAUGAUAUGCAAGCUCACAUACAACAUUCUGCAAUCAAGUGGAAUACCAUGCUAUGACUGGUUCGCUUCGCAAUACUGCCAGCAUACUAUCCCCAUGGAUAAACAUCAUCGGGACACUGCUAUUUGGAAAUGUCUGGCAACAGCCAUCAAGACAGUAAUAGACUCAAUGAGAUGUACCUUGGGAAACGGAUCCAGAAUCUCUUUCUGGCACGACUGGUGGCUAGAUUGCGGAAGGCUAAAAUUCUCUUUCCCGAUUCUCUUCAUCUUUGCGCAAUCACCUUGUUGCACUGUUGCCUCGCAGUUCACUGAUGGACAAUGGAAUAUCAAGCUACAUCCGAAUCUGACUGCAACAGCCACAAGAGAACUGGAGGCUUUACUAACGAUUCUAGUUGGAGUUCAUCCAUCUCCUCCUCACGCACACACGGAUCAGAGGGGCCCUUCUAUGAAAUCUAGAAAAGUAACUACUGCCUCCUUCUAUGAGCUGCUCACUUUCAGAAGGAUCCUCUGCCCAGCUGCUCCAAAGAUAUGGGAUGCUAUAAUACCUAACAGGUACCGGGUCUUCCUUUGGCUGGCCUUGCGAGGUAGAUUAAACACAAGGGACAAUAUACUCAAGAAAGGCUGGAUGUCCAUCACAACGCACAACGGUUGCGACCUCUGCCCCGCAACUGAAACCAGCUGCCACAUCAUUCUCAGAUGUAGACUUGCUGAUGUUGUUUGGGAGCGAGCAGGCGUACAGAGUGAUGCAAGAAGAUUCAAUGACCUCCAAGAGUUCCUACUCGCCACGGAAGCCCCUGCAUAUGGCAACCUAUGGCAUACUGUCUUUGCAGCCUGCGCCGUGUCCCUCUGGACUGCCAGAAACGAGCAGGUCUUCCACAACACACGAUGGUCCGCUGGCAAGGUGCUGAACACGAUUACGGACCUCCUCCGCCUAUGGAGUAAUCGUGCGAAUAACGCUGAGGAUAGGCUUAAGCUGUGUAAUCUUGCUGCUCUUUUUCCUACCCCUUCUACCAUUCUAUAG